GCGGUGGAGCAUGUGGUUAAUUCGAUGCAACGCGAAGAACCUUACCUGGUCUUGACAUCCCGGAGACCCUUAGGAAACUAGGGGUGCUUCCAUCUGGAAGAAUCUGGAGACAGGUGCUGCAUGGCUGUCGUCAGCUCGUGUCGUGAGAUGUUGGGUUAAGUCCCGCAACGAGCGCAACCCUUGCCUUUAGUUGCCAGCAGUUCGGCUGGGCACUCUAAAGGGACUGCCGGUGUUAAACCGGAGGAAGGUGGGGAUGACGUCAAGUCCUCAUGGCCUUUAUGACCAGGGCUACACACGUACUACAAUGGCCGAUACAAAGGGCAGCGACACUGCGAGGUGAAGCCAAUCCCGUAAAAUCGGUCUCAGUCCGGAUUGGAGUCUGCAACUCGACUCCAUGAAGUUGGAAUCGCUAGUAAUCGUGGAUCAGCGUGCCACGGUGAAUACGUUCCCGGGCCUU
rnacentral:rRNA from 1 species